AAGGACACGAUCGAACAAUCUAUAGGUACAAAUUUUUACAACACAAAUACAUUUGGUUGGUGGAUCCAAGGUCAUGGGACCCUAAAAGAGAAGCCAUUCGAAGAACCAAAUCACUUUUAUUGGAGUGCUUGGAUGAAAUAGUUCGGUAUCGCAGAUUAUAAAUUUUAUUAUUCGCAGUGAAUAGCUGAUGGUGAAAUUCAAUUCUAAAAAUCAGUUCCUAAUUAGACGCUAAAUCCUUAAUUGUCGAAUAAGAAUAGGCACGAGUGUAAAAUAGUUAGGUCAAGAUCGAGGUUUCCCAUUAACGUGGGUGCUCGGUCGGAGCCCAUUGCCUCUAGGAAAGAGAGCGGGAAAGGCUAGUCGUCGGUGAAAAGUUUUUGUGAAUCGCCUUCGUGAAACCGUUUGGGAAAUCGGUAACCCGUACUACCCUAGAAGGGAGAAGCUUUCAAGGCAGCCUCGUCGAAUUGCCACCCCCCACCCGACGGAAAACUCGAUAGCUUAACGUUAAGCUCGAUUGGCGGCUGAUUCUAACCUCUCGUCAACGGACCGAGAGUAACCGAGUCGUGCACGUGUAACGCAUGCAAAGCUUCCUAGCCAGAACCUCAACCAGCCUCAGGUGUCGCAUCAUCGCCCGUCUCGCCGUAGAGGAAAGCUCACCGAAUGCAUCGGCGUGGCGUUAAAUAUAAAGGGUAUCGGAAAUCAGGUCAGUGAUCACUGUUAACAAGAAAAAUGAGCUCAAUAAGUU